rnacentral:tRNA from 1 species
GUUUAAAUUUUUAAAAGUUUUUGAAACUUUUCUUUAUUUUUCAAAAA